rnacentral:rRNA from 1 species
UACGGAGGGAGCAAGCGUUACUCGGAAUUAUUGGGCGUAAAGGGCGCGUAGGCGAUCUGACAAGUCCUGUGUGAAAGCCCAGAGCUUAACUCUGGAAGUGCACAGGAGACUGUCUGGAUUUGAGUUCAGGAGAGGAAAGCAGAAUUCCCGGUGUAGCGGUGAAAUGCGUAGAGAUCGGGAGGAAUACCAGUGGCGAAGGCGGCUUUCUGGACUGACACUGACGCUGAGGCGCGAAAGCCAGGGGAGCAAACGGG